rnacentral:pre_miRNA from 1 species
GAUAUCAACUGAAAAAGUCAUCAACAACAAAGUUGAAUAACUCGUCAAGAUCUAAAACUUUUAUUUUAAUCAUUUCUUCAUACGACAAAGUGAUAGUAACAUUGUUCACAAAAUUGACAUAUCUCUUAUCUGGUUUUAUAAACUAUAACACAUAUAUGUAAAUUUUGUGAAUAAUAUUACUAACAUUUCGUCGGAUGAAGAAAUAACAAAAAUAAAAGUUUUAGAUCUUAGAUGAGUUAUUCAACUUUGUUGUUGAUGACUUUUUCAGUUGAUAUC